rnacentral:lncRNA from 1 species
AAUGGAGAAAAGGAUAUCCAGACAGCACUGAAUAACGCAUAUGGCAAAACAUUACGGCAACACCAUGGCUGGGUAGUUCGAGGGGUCUUUGCGUUAGCACUGAGGGCAGCGCCAUCCUAUGAGGACUUUGUAGCUGCGCUAACCAUAAAAGAAGGCGACCACCAGAAAGAAGCUUUCAGUGCUGGCAUGCAGAGGGACCUCAGCCUUUACCUCCCCGCUAUGGAAAAGCAGCUGGCCAUACUGGACACGUUAUAUGAGAUCCACGGGCUGGAAUCUGAUGAGGUGGUGUGA